CUCGUAGUUGGAUCAAGAGUCGGACAGUGCACGGUGGCCCUGUUUGCCAUUUUGGGUCCUGCUCAAGUUGGCGGCAGCGGAAUCACCCCGUGCAUCAAACUGUCCGCUCUAGCAGGCCGAAACGGUUCCCUGUGAGUAGGCCCCUUCAUUGGGGUCGAAAGCGCCAACGCAUCAACCAUAUGCAUACGGGACGUCGGCCAAAGUUACUGUGAACAAACCAGCGUGUCCAAAGCAGGCCUUCGCCUGAAUGUUCGAGCAUGGAAUAACAAGGGAUCGAUUCUCUCGGUUCUUUUUGUUGGUUUUUAACCCGAGAAGGAGUAAUUCAGUCCACGGUGUCUGAGUUGGGUUCCCCUGGGCUUCGGCUUAGGCCCCAAUUAGGCCGUGUGCUUACGGGAUCAAUAGGGACUGACGGGGUCGUACGUACUUCCGCGUCAGAGGUGAAAUUCUUAGAUCGCGGGAAGACGAACUUCUGCGAAAGCAUUCGACAAGAAUGUCUUCAUUAAUCAAGAACGAGAGUGUGGGGAUCGAAGAUGAUCAGAUACCGUCGUAGUCCACUACUGUAAACAAUGCCGUCUCAGGAUUGAGAAGUGAACUGAAUGACUUUCACAGCACUAACCCCUGAAACGAGAAAUCAAAGAUUAUGGGUUCAGGGGGGAGUACAUUCGCAAGGCUGAAACUUAAAGGAAUUGACGGAAUGACACCACAAGGCGUGGAGUAUGCGGCUUAAUUUGACUCAACACGGGGAAUUUUACUAGGUCAGGACAAUGUAAGGAUUGACAGAUUGAGAGCUCUUUCUCGAUCCAUUGUGUGGUGGUGCAUGGCCGCUCCUGGUUGGUGGAGUGAUUUGUCUGGUUGAUUCCGUUAACGAACGAGAUCUCGACCCUUAAA
rnacentral:rRNA from 1 species